UACGUAGGGUGCGAGCGUUGUCCGGAAUUAUUGGGCGUAAAGGGCUCGUAGGCGGUUUGUCACGUCGGGAGUGAAAACUCGGGGCUUAACCCCGAGCCUGCUUCCGAUACGGGCAGACUAGAGGUAUGCAGGGGAGAACGGAAUUCCUGGUGUAGCGGUGAAAUGCGCAGAUAUCAGGAGGAACACCGGUGGCGAAGGCGGUUCUCUGGGCAUUACCUGACGCUGAGGAGCGAAAGUGUAGGGAGCGAACAGG
rnacentral:rRNA from 1 species